rnacentral:tRNA from 1 species
UCCCUGGUAGUCUAGGGGUUAAGAGUCCUCCACUGUCACUGCUGUGGCUCAGGUUCAAUCCCUGGCCUGGGAA